AUCCAGCUGAUGAGUCCCAAAAUAGAACGAAACGCACGUUUUAGAU
rfam:Schistosoma haematobium scaffold172_11, whole genome shotgun sequence.